AGUGGCGAACUGGUGAGUACAAGAUGGGUAACGUGCCUCGAUGUGGGGAAUAACGUCCGAAAGACGGGUAAUUCCGCAUGUGGUGUCAGGUCCUGCGGGACUUGACUCUAAAGGCGCUUUGUGUCGCAUCGAGAUCGGCCCAUCCCCCAUUAGCUAGUUGGUAGGGUAACGGCUUACCAAGGCAUCGAUGGGCAGCUGGCCUGAGAGGGUGGUCAGCCACACUGGGACUGAGAUACGGCCCAGAGUCCUACGGGAGGCAGCAGUCUAGAAGCUUCGGCAAUGCGCGAAAGCGUGACCGAGCGACGCCGCGUGCGUGAUGAAGCCCUUCGGGGUGUAAAGCGCUGUCAGCAGGGAAGAACGCUUGGGAGGUGUCCCUCUCGAGUAUGACGGUACCUGCAGAGGAAGCGCCGGCUAACUCCGUGCCAGCAGCCGCGGUAAUACGGAGGGCGCGAGCGUUGUUCGGAUUUAUUGGGCGUAAAGAGCGCGUAGGCGGGCGAGUAAGUCUGGUGUGAAAUCUUCACCGCUCAACGGGAAGAGGUCACUGGAUACUGCUUGCCUUGAGGUCGUUAGAGGGAAACGGAACUCCAGGUGUACCGGUGGAAUGCGUAGAUAUCUGGAAGAACACCAGUUGCGAAGGCGGUCUCCUGGACCAAUACUGACGCUGAUGCUCGAAAGCUGGGGGAGCGAACAGGAUUAGAUACCCUGGUAGUCCCAGCCGUAAACGAUGGACACUAGUUGCCGGAGGAGUCAAUCCCUUCGGUGACGAAGCUAACGCAUUAAGUGUCCCGCCUGGGGAGUACGCUCGCAAGGGUGAAACUCAAAGGAAUUGACGGGGGCCCGCACAAGCGGUGGAGCAUGUGCUUUAAUUCGAUGCAACGCGAAGAACCUUACCUGGGUUUGACAUGGGGGUGAAAGUUUCCAGAGAUGGAAGCCUUUCCUUCGGGAACACCCCACACAGGUGCUGCAUGGUUGUCGUCAGCUCGUGUCGUGAGAUGUUGGGUUAAGUCCCGCAACGAGCGCAACCCCUGCCCUUAGUUGCCAUCAGGUAAAGCUGGGAACUCUAAGGGGACAGCUUGGUAUAACCAGGAGGAAGGUGGGGAUGACGUCAAAUCAUCAUGGCUCUUACGCCCAGGGCUAGACACGUGCUACAAUGGCAGGUACAGUGGGAUGCCAGCCUGCGAAGGUGAGCUAAUCCCUUAAAACCUGUCUCAGUCCGGAUUGGAGUCUGCAACUCGACUCCAUGAAGUUGGAAUCGCUAGUAAUCGCGGAUCAGCAUGCCGCGGUGAAUACGUUCCCGGGCAUUGUACACACCGCCCGUCAAGCCAUGAAAGGCGGUAGUACCCGAAGUCGCGUACCCAACCGUAAGGAGGGAAGCGCCGAAGGU
rnacentral:rRNA from 1 species